GUCGUUUCGACCCUUUCCAACGCUGGAUUGUCCUCUGUGGUAUCUUUGGGAAGACUAGGAAGAAUCCUUGGACCUACAGUAGAAGAUGCAGAUAGAUGUGCUGGAGGUACGGGCUUGACAUCAGAUGGUAUGCGAGCCAAGUUGGGAACGCUUCCAGCUCUUGCUCGGGCUGGGUUUGUAGACAGUUCAUUAUGGGAUUGAUAUGGAUGUUGAACAGUGUAUUCCAACGGAGACAUUGUCUUAGCUCGACUAAAUUCUGCUACUUCUACCGCCCUCUUGCGAGACGAUUUGGAGCGGUCAAAGGAUAAUUCAGCUAAAUUUUGAUCCGGAUUAAAUGUUUCAUAAUCUGCAACAAUAUCAGCACCUUUCAAAGACGCAGUAGAAGAACUUGUCGAGUUCAUAGUUCCUGCCGAGUACGUCAAACUAGGAAUGCGACCUUCUUCCUCGGAAUUAAUCCUCUUAAACACUGAUGUACUACUCAUUCUUUUACGAUUAUCAGGACUAUGUUGAGAAGAAAAAGAUGAAUCGAGGUGCCCAUAGCCAUGCAUAUACAUGCUUCUUAAAUCAAGUGACUC